GCCAGGGCUUACAGUGGGCUCAGGGCCUGGGAUACAGGAAGGAGCUGUCAGCCUCCCAUAAACACGACUCAUCCUGCACCGAUGAUACAGAGGGCCUGGGGGUAGCGCUCCCCGGCCACCCCGCUGCCAACCCGCCGUUUUACACUGUGUGCUGCUAAGUUCUAGACUUGUGGAAUCCUACGGGGCUUUCCUUCAGGCGCCGGUCCCCGUCUGUGGUUAUCUUCUCUGCAUGUUUUCCUACACAGCAGUGAAGUACGCUGAUUUCAGGGGGCCGUUACGCUGUUUUUUCAAUGUGGUGCCGUGCCGAGAAAUAGAAACUCAACAGCAGAGGGAACGGACUAAAAGUAGCAGUUCUCAGGAGAAAUAUGGAGAAUUUCUGGAUGAAGAGGUGGACAUCUCCAGCCAAUCCAUGCCAGUGAUAUCGUUGCCUGAGCCACUGGAGAGUAUUUCCUUUUCCUAGCUGAUGUGUUGUGCAUUGAAGUCCACAAGCAAAGGGAAGAGAUGAGAGGAGAAAUGCAAGAAGGAAUACAACUUGGCUGCUAUGAAAGUGAACAGUGUUAAUGCAUGAUCAGUGGUGUAUUCAUUCCGCCGAUUCUGUUGAAAAAAGUUUCUUAAACGGAAGCAAACGGAACAAAACGGGUAAAACAUACCUGAAUUUGUCCAAUACAAACUCUCGUUUGCAACUGUUGUACCAAUGAUUACACCCUACAUCAACUAGAUGCAGGCAAGAUCGUGCAAGGCAGUAUUGAAUGUCACUAUCUGUCCAUGUGUCACUGUCCCCUCAAAUUUGUCUCUUGACCUGUGUUCACCUACAUUGUAAACUUUCAUUCAUAGGCUAGGUUGUAGCAACCUGAUGGGUAGAGGGAAAAUUAGAGUAUCAUGUACUAGCCUAAACUUAUUGCUGUUACAUUGAACUGGG
rnacentral:lncRNA from 1 species